CCUACGGGGGGCAGCAGUGGGGAAUAUUGGACAAUGGGGGGAACCCUGAUCCAGCGACGCCGCGUGAGUGAAGAAGUAUUUCGGUAUGUAAAGCUCUAUCAGCAGGGAAGAAAGCAAUGACGGUACCUGACUAAGAAGCCCCGGCUAACUACGUGCCAGCAUCCGCGGUAAUACGGAGGGGGCAAGCGUUAUCCGGAUUUACUGGGUGUAAAGGGAGCGUAGACGGCGAUGUAAGUCUGAAGUGAAAGGCGGGGGACCAACCCCUGGACUGCUUUGGAAACUGUAUGGCUGGAGUGCAGGAGAGGUAAGUGGAAUUCCUAGUGUAGCGGUGAAAUGCGUAGAUAUCAGGAGGAACACCAGUGGCGAAGGCGGCUUACUGGACUGUAACUGACGUUGAGGCUCGAAAGCGUGGGGAGCAAACAGGAUUAGAUACCCUUGUAGUC
rnacentral:rRNA from 1 species